rnacentral:lncRNA from 10 species
GAAAAUACAAAAGCACUACUGUUUAACAGGAAAGUUACUAUCCAGAAAUUAACCCACAAAGGUGGGAAGAGUAUUUACCCGCUAAUCUCUUUAUUCCCUCGCCUGACAAAAUAUCUGCAUUCCUGGGCGGCCUCAAGAAAUGAACUACAGACAUCUAUUCCCUUUGUGAUACCUCCUUGGAAUCAAAGUGUGGAGUGUAACAAUGUGCCUCCACACACUCACACUAGUUGAUGCUUCAUCUUGGUGAAAUCAAGUUUUUGGAAUUACCUUUCCUAAGAUCAUUCUAUUCACAGAGAAGGAGCUUAAUGAAACUAUGGUGGAUGUAUUCUAGACAGAAGAAGGAUUAAACCAAGAUAAAAACAAUGUGAAUGAGGAAAGUGGGAGUAACAGGGAUUCCAAGAGAAAGAUUUUCCAUUUGUCAAAAAUGAGGAGUACUAAUCAGUAGUGCUAUGGAAACAAGACACUAACAGUUAUAGUCCGGAAGAAGAGAUGAUAACAUCUGUCCCUAAAAAGAGGCAGCACAGCAUGGAGAGAGAUACUUCUGCUUGGGUGAAGGAGAAAACAGUGAGUACAAGACUUUGCCUCAGAUCCCAACACUCAGUGUUGGGCAGCACCCAUGACCCCAGACUUCAGGCCAAUACCUACUGACUAAGCCUCUGGGUUGGUUCCAAUGCCAGGCCAGAUCCCACAACUCCAGACUCCAGGCUUGUUCAGCAUACUUGGUCUCUGGGCCCACAGCAACACCAGGCCAAACCCAAUGGCACCAGAGGACCCAGCCUCCAGACUGACCCCUUUGGAUACAUGUUCUAGGCUGAUCCAGCAUCAGGCCAGCCCCUGUGAUCCUUGGCUCCAGGCUCACCUCAAGUUCCAACUCAGCUCUGACAUAUGUCAACCCAUAUAGCCCCAGGCCUCAGGCCCAUGCCAGUGCCAGAUAAACACCCCUAGCCUCAGGCACCAGACUGGCACCUGUAGAUACAGGCUCGAGGCUUGCACAAUGCUAGGCUAGUCCUUGCAGUUCCACACUCUAGGCCAGCCCCUGUGACCCCAUGCUCCAACAGAACUAGGGUACAGGCUUUCUCUAGAAGACCCAGGAUCCAGGUUUGCCCCAGUAGACUUUUACUAGGAUAUCUCCCACGGACUCAGGCUCUAGGACUGCCUCCUGUGGAUCAGGUUCCAAGUCCACCUCCACAACCCUAGAACCAAGGCCAGACUUUGCAGGCCUAGCUUCCGAACCAACUACUGCACAACCAGCCUCUCUAAACCAAGGCUCUAGGCAUUAGGAUAGCACCUAUGAUGCCAGGCUCCACAGUAGCCCUUAUGGGUCCAUUUUCCAUGUCUGUCCCAGUACCAGGCUGCACCUAGGCUCCAGGCCAGUCUUCAUGGCCUCAGACUCCAGAGGAUCCAAAGUCCAGUACUACUCUGGCAUAUCUAGACUACAGGCCCGCCCCAGUAGACCCUGGUGUCAGGCCAACUACCAGAGAGAGACUGAAGCUCCAAUGCCACCCCCACAG